rnacentral:tRNA from 1 species
CUUUUAAAGGAUAACAGUUAAUCCACUGGUCU